rnacentral:rRNA from 1 species
GAUGAACGCUGGCGGCGUGCCUAAUACAUGCAAGUCGAGCGACCGGACGGGAAGCUUGUUUUUUUGAGGUUAGCGGGGGACGGGUGGGUAACACGUGGAUAACCUACCUAUAAUACGGGGGGAACUUCGGAAAGCCGGUGCUAAUACCGGAGAAUAUUUUGAACCGCUGGAUUCAAAGGUGAAAGGCGGUCUUGCUGUCACUAUUAGAUGGUUCCGCGUUGCAUUAGCUAGUUGGUAAGGUAACGGCUUACCAAGGCAACGAUGCAUAGCCGACCUGAGAGGGUGAUCGGCCACACUGGAACUGAGACACGGUCCAGACUCCUACGGGAGGCAGCAGUAGGGAAUCUUCCGCAAUGGGCGAAAGCCUGACGGAGCAACGCCGCGUGAGUGAUGAAGGUCUUCGGAUCGUAAAACUCUGUUAUUAGGGAAGAACAUAUGUGUAAGUAACUGUGCACAUCUUGACGGUACCUAAUCAGAAAGCCACGGCUAACUACGUG